UGGGGAAUUUUGGACAAUGGGCGCAAGCCUGAUCCAGCAAUGCCGCGUGCAGGAUGAAGGCCUUCGGGUUGUAAACUGCUUUUGUACGGAGCGAAAAGGUCUGCCCUAAUACGGUGGGCUCAUGACGAUACCGUAAGAAUAAGCACCGGCUAACUACGUGCCAGCAGCCGCGGUAAUACGUAGGGUGCGAGCGUUAAUCGGAAUUACUGGGCGUAAAGCGUGCGCAGGCGGUUAUAUAAGACAGAUGUGAAAUCCCCGGGCUCAACCUGGGACCUGCAUUUGUGACUGUAUAGCUAGAGUACGGUAGAGGGGGAUGGAAUUCCACGUGUAGCAGUGAAAUGCGUAGAUAUGCGGAGGAACACCGAUGGCGAAGGCAAUCCCCUGGACCUGUACCGACGCUCAUGCACGAAAGCGUGGGGAGCAAACA
rnacentral:rRNA from 1 species